rnacentral:rRNA from 1 species
AUUGAACGCUGGCGGCAUGCCUUACACAUGCAAGUCGAACGGUAACAGGUUAAGCUGACGAGUGGCGAACGGGUGAGUAAUAUAUCGGAACGUGCCCAGUCGUGGGGGAUAACUGCUCGAAAGAGCAGCUAAUACCGCAUACGACCUGAGGGUGAAAGCGGGGGAUCGCAAGACCUCGCGCGAUUGGAGCGGCCGAUAUCAGAUUAGGUAGUUGGUGGGGUAAAGGCUCACCAAGCCAACGAUCUGUAGCUGGGCUGAGAGGACGACCAGCCACACUGGGACUGAGACACGGCCCAGACUCCUACGGGAGGCUGCAGUGGGGAAUUUUGGACAAUGGGCGCAAGCCUGAUCCAGCCAUGCCGCGUGCGGGAAGAAGGCCUUCGGGUUGUAAACCGCUUUUGUCAGGGAAGAAAAGGUUCUGGUUAAUACCUGGGACUCAUGACGGUACCUGAAGAAUAAGCACCGGCUAACUACGUGCCAGCAGCCGCGGUAACAC